AAGCUCGUAGUUGAAGUGUGGGUGAUCGCUAUUGUGAGACUUCGGUCUCUCGAUAGUAAGUCACCCCCUUCCAGUAUCCAGUAGUGGGUAUUCACUUACUUACUAUUGUGUGUUGGUCCUUUACUGUGAGAAAAUUAGAGUGUUCAAAGCAGGCGUUUGCUUGAAUAGAUUAGCAUGGAAUAAUAAUUGAAGGCUUUCGUGUUCGAUUUGAUUGGUUUGUUCAUGGAAGCAAGGUUAAAAGGAACAGUUGGGGGUAUUCAUAUUCACUAGUUAGAGGUGAAAUUCUCGGAUUUAUGGAAGAUGAACAAGUGCGAAAGCAUUUACCAAGGAUGUUUUCAUUAAUCAAGAACGAAAGCUAGGGGAUCGAAGAGGAU
rnacentral:rRNA from 1 species